rnacentral:rRNA from 1 species
UACGUAGGGUGCGAGCGUUGUCCGGAAUUAUUGGGCGUAAAGAGCUUGUAGGCGGCUUGUCGCGUCUGCUGUGAAAUCCCGGGGCUUAACCCCGGGCUUGCAGUGGGUACGGGCAGGCUAGAGUGUGGUAGGGGAGACUGGAAUUCCUGGUGUAGCGGUGGAAUGCGCAGAUAUCAGGAGGAACACCGAUGGCGAAGUCAGGUCUCUGGGCCAUUACUGACGCUGAGAAGCGAAAGCGUGGGGAGCGAACAGG